rnacentral:rRNA from 1 species
UACGGAGGGUGCAAGCGUUAUCCGGACUCACUGGGUUUAAAGGGUGCGUAGGUGGGCAGGUAAGUCAGUGGUGAAAUCUCCGGGCUUAACUCGGAAACUGCCAUUGAUACUAUCUGUCUUGAAUACCGUGGAGGUUAGCGGAAUAUGUCAUGUAGCGGUGAAAUGCUUAGAUAUGACAUAGAACACCAAUUGCGAAGGCAGCUGGCUACACGAAUAUUGACACUGAUGCACGAAAGCGUGGGGAUCAAACAGG